ensembl:snoRNA SNORD72 small nucleolar RNA, C/D box 72
AUCUUAUCCAUGAUGUUUAAAAAUAAAUGUCUGAACUUAUGAAUUAAUUGUGAUUCAGAUUUCUAACUGAGAUAAGCA